UACGUAGGUGACCAGCGUUGUCCGGGAUUUACUGGGCGUAAAGAGCGCGCAGGCGGUCGUUCAAGUCGAGUGUGAAAGCCCCCGGCUCAACUGGGGAGGUCAUUCGAUUACUGAUCGACUUUGAAGGCAGGAGAGGGAAGUGGAAUUCCCGGUGUAGUGGUGAAAUGCGUAGGAUAAUCGGGAGGAACACCAGUGGCGAAGGGCGAACUUCCUG
rnacentral:rRNA from 1 species